GCCCUACGGGUUGUAAACUGCUUUUGUACGGGAAUAAACCUUGAUACGUGUAUCYAGCUGAAUGUACUGUAAGAAUAAGGAUCGGCUAACUCCGUGCCAACAGCCGCGGUAAUACGGAGGAUCCAAGCGUUAUCCGGAUUUAUUGGGUUUAAAGGGUGCGUAGGUGGCCUAUUAAGUCAGGGGUGAAAGACGGUAGCUUAACUAUCGCAGUGCCCUUGAUACUGAUGAGCUUGAAUGCACUAGAGGUAGGCGGAAUGUGACAAGUAGCGGUGAAAUGCAUAGAUAUGUCACAGAACACCGAUUGCGAAGGCAGCUUACUAUGGUYUGAUUGACRCUGAGGCACGAAAGCGUGGGGAUCAAACAGGAUUAGAUACCCUGGUAGUCCACGCCCUAAACGAUGAAUACUCGAUGUUGGCGAUAUACGGUCAGCGUCUAAGCGAAAGCGUUAAGUAUUCCACCUGGGGAGUACGCCCGCAAGGGUGAAACUCAA
rnacentral:rRNA from 1 species